rnacentral:rRNA from 1 species
AUGAGUAUGGCAGAAUCCAACAUCCAUUCAACCUCUAAAUUGGGGCUCCAUGGCUACCAACCGAUGGAGCAAGACUGGAGACCACCCUCUUCUCCUCCAAUUUGGAGCUCGAUGGCCGCCAUUCAACAGGCGCUGCCGUCGUUGCCUCCUCACCGCCUCACCUGGGAGAGCACAGGCGCCAACAUCACCCACGACCCGCUGCAUGUUCGGUCAACAAGCUGUAGUUCAAUUAGGUCUGUUGCUCCUCUUACAUGCAGAGCCUGGGAAGAUCAUGGUCUUCUCUCAUUCUCUUGUGAACAAUAUAUACACUGUAGGUAUGCGAGAAGAAAUAUUGUAUUGCUUGGAAAAAGAUAUGCGAAAUUAGCAGGCAUCAAUUUGACCAUGUUUACAAGCUAUUAG